rnacentral:rRNA from 1 species
AUUGAACGCUGGCGGCAGGCCUAACACAUGCAAGUCGAACGAGUGGCGGACGGGUGAGUAAUGUCUGGGAAACUGCCCGAUGGAGGGGGAUAACUACUGGAAACGGUAGCUAAUACCGCAUACCAUCGGAUGUGCCCAGAUGGGAUUAGCGUGUAGGUGAGGUAACGGCUCACCUAGGCGACGAUCCCUAGCUGGUCUGAGAGGAUGACCAGCCAAACUGGAAGUGAGACACGGUCCAGACGCAGACGGGAGGCAGAAGUGGGGAAUAUGGCACAAUGGGCGCAAGCCUGAUGAAGCCAUGCCGCGUGUAUGAAGAAGGCCUUAGGGUGGUAAAGUACUUUCAGCGGGGAGGCGUUACCCGCAGAAGAAGCACCGGCUAAAUCCGUGCAAGCAGCCGCGGUAAUUC